AUAACAGAGAUAGGAUGGUGAGAUGAAAUCAGAGUAGUGUGUUUCCUUUAAUGUUUUCUGUCUUCUUCUUCUUUUGUUUGUUUGUUUGUUUUUGAAACAGAGUCUCACUCUGUUGCCCAGGCUGGAGUGCAGUAGUGUGGUCUUGGCUCACUGCAACCUCUACCUCCUGGGUUCAAGUGAUUCUCCUGCCUCUGCCUCCUGAGUAGCUGGGAUUACAGGCGUGCACCACCACAUCUGGCUAAUUUUUGUACUUUUAGUAGAGACGGGGUUUCACCAUAUAGUGCAGGCUGGUCUCGAACUCCUGACCUCUGAAUAUUCAGCUGCCUCAGCCUCCCAAAGUGCUGGGAUUAUAAGUGUGAGUGGCCACACCUGGCCUGUUUCUUUUAAGUUAGCACUUCACAUGCUCUCAUAGCAUUAAUUGCCAUUAUUGGUUUGCCUGAUUUUCCUGCAUCUCCUCAUAUGUAAGUCUGCAACCCAAGGAAAGAAUAGUAGCUUGUAUGUGUCAACGAAGGGUGUCCAAGCUUCUUGAUUCUUGUUAAUACCGACUUCCCAACAUUGAAAAAGGAGCGAAGAAGGGAAUAUCAUUUUAGGGUACUGCUUUAAAGGAAUGAUAAAGUAAACAAUGUGGUAGGGAAAAUACCACUUGCACAAAUGUAUUUCUUUGUCAAAGUGUGUACAUGCUUUCUGUAUGUCCUAUGUCCUGAUGUGAAGCAGGGACCACAAUGCCAUUUAUUCAUUGUUCCAGGCAGUGCAUUUGUUCAAACCCCUCUGGCUCUCUGAUAUCUCUCAUCUCUUCAUGUUCCUAUUCUCUGACCUCAACGGGGAGGACACUGUCUGUUGUGUCUCUUUGAGACCAGAACUGCAUGUGUUUAACCUUCAGAUCCAUUCUCUACAUGAACCCUAUCUUUCCACCCUGCUAAGAAGGUCUGGAAGACAGGUCCUAGCGAGGGGUCAGAGAAGGCACAGAGAAAUGAACCAGCCAUGCAGGGGCAGCACUGAGGAGGAAACCCCCCACUCUAACUGGGAGGAGAGUGGAAACACUCUUCGUGUCUCAGAGUAGUUACCAAUCUAAGAGCAUCCCUCGAGUUUAAGUCAAAACUCCAGGCUUAAUACUAAAAAUAAUACAUCAUUUGGGAAAAUAGCUUGGAGAAAAAAAUCAAUAGUCACAUAAAAUCUUAAGAAAAUGGUUCUAUUCUGUGAAAUAUUACUGAGAAAUAAAGUUCUUAAACGUGUAUAACUAUUGUCAGACAAUUUAUAGGUGUUUUAUCUAGUCCUGGGACAAAAUAACAUGACUCACGCAAUGCAGGGAGCACAUUAGCUGACUUUAAAUUGGAACAUUGUAAAGAGAAAGCUGUGAAAGGUUGUGUGUCCUGUCAAUGAGAUUUAUUUUCUAACCAAGAGCUAUUUGGAUGAUUCAGUAUAAAUCUGAAAAUCACAUCCAAAAAGGGUAUAACCCAGCUUCCUUAAGGCAAUUUUCUUCUCUGAGAUAAGAGUAUACUCAUAUGUUCUUUACUAUAAUGUAUAUUAUUUUAUCUUGUACUUUAAAAGAUGAUAAUUAUGCAUUGUAUAUACAAUUGUGUGCCUUGCAAUAAAAUCAAAAUUGUAC
ensembl:lncRNA